rfam:Nematostella vectensis strain CH2 x CH6 NEMVEscaffold_350_Cont24646, whole genome shotgun sequence.
ACCAGGAUGGCCGAGUGGUUAAGGCGUUGGACUUAAGUUCAAAUGUACGGAUGUACGCGUGGGUUCGAACCCCACUCCUGUUA